UUUUUGGCAAACCUUAGGCGCUCUUUCCCCCACCCUGUAAUUAAGGCAGAAGUAAACAGUAAGAGAAUAUCAAAUUGCAGCUUGCUUCAGUAAUAGGUGCCCAGGUGGAGCUGCAGCUUGUGCAGACCUGUGCCUUGAGACAGAAGGGCAGCCUCUCUGGGGAGCACUCUAACAGGUCCCCAGAUCUGACACAUCAAGAUUAAGUCCUGAAGAUUUGGAGCUGAGUGACAAGAAAGGGUGGUACGCCUACCACAGCAUGGCUGCCAAGCAGUGCCAUGUCCGCACCCGGGAUCCGAACCGGCGAACCCUGGGCCGCCGAGAAGCGGAACGUGAGAACUUAACCACUGCACCACCGGGCCGGCCCCUACAAAUUACCUUUUAAAAAAUAAAAAGAGAUCAUUCAAAGGGUGGUGACAUGAUACACGGUAUAGAUGUGCGCAUGUACUCAACUGAAAGAGGAAUGUUAACAAUAUAAUGAAAUUAGGCACUCCCUCUCGCCCUCUCACUUGCUCACUCUGAUGAAGCGAGCUGAGCUGCCCUCUUCUGAGCUGCCCUUCUAAGAGGCCCAUGUGGCAAAGACUGAGGGCCACCUCACUGAGAGACCAAAGCCCUCAGUCCAACAGCCCUUGAGGAACUGAAUCUUGCCAAUUCGGUAACUUGACUGAGUUUGGAAGUGGAUCCUUCCCCCGUUUAUCCAAGAGAUGGCUGCAGUCUCCGCUGACACCUUGAUUGCAGCCUUGUGAGAGACCCAAAGCUGGAGGACCCAGCUAAGCCACCGCCAGAUUCCUGACCUACCGGAACUGGAAUAAUUACACAACAACAGAUAAUUAAGACAAAUGAUAAUGUUCAUAACUAGCAUUCUUGAGUGUUAGCUGUAUGUCAGGCACUGUGCUAAGUGAUUUACGUGUGAUUUCUCUUUUCAUCUUCACAGCAGUCCCAUGAAGAAGAUAGUAGUAAUCUCAUUUUAUAGAUGGGGAAACUGAGGCUUAGAGGAAUUCGCCAAAGUUACAGAGCUAGUGAGUAAACUCAGAGUGUAAACCUGUGUAGUCUUGCUCUAGAGCCUGGGUGCUUAAACAGGGUGUUCUGUUUGCUCUGCUACAUCAACUAAUCCCUCUCAUCCUGAAUACACUUUUUGCUGAACUGGCUGGUUUUUUAAAUGGAACUACAUUGCUGUUUUUGAAUAAAGUAAUCCCAGGCCUGGGCCCUUGGUCACCUCAGAGAUGGGCAGGCAAAAGCCAGAGACGGGACCAGCAGCCUUGUGUGAAAAACAUAUUCCGAGCACUUGUGUUCUUUGAUUUGGAGCUGACAUUUGUCCUAGCCGUAGUAACGGAGGAGAGGGAAGGAUGAGAGUGGGGAAGGGUGAUUCAUUAUUUCAGCUCUUGUGUCAGCAUAUCAGACUGUGAGGAUGAAAACAAAUCAAGAGAGAAUGUUGUUGGGAUGGUUCGGAUAUGUUUCAGUUGGGACCUACCAAGAAAAAAGGAAAUAAUACGUAAAGUGUUGUGAUGUAAAACAAUUAUUGUGAGAAUAGUUAUAUUGCUUUUAAAAAAAAACUAUUUUGGAAAUAGCUUUUAUCUCUUUUAAUGUAACAGUAGUUAUUAUUACAUGCUUGAUAUAAUAAAAACAUGAAUAGAACAACUGAGAAAAUUAUAGAGAGUGGAUAUCACCCCCAGUCCCACCCAAUAGCAUUAAACAGAUGGAUAGUUUUUACUGUUUCAUAAUAUGUUUGCCUCUUAUUACGGCUAUCUUUUCAUGUCAAUAACUAGGUCGACAUCAUUGUUUGCAGUGUUCUGCUGUUAAGUAUGUUAAAUCAUUUAUCCAAAAUAAUUUCCUGGAUAUUUAAGUUGCUUCCAGUUUUCUGUAAUAAACAACUCCAUGAAAGGUCAC
rnacentral:lncRNA from 1 species